AUUGCCCUAGUAACGGCGAGUGAAGCGGCAACAGCUCAAAUUUGAAAUCUGGCUCUUUCAGGGUCCGAGUUGUAAUUUGCAGAGGGCGCUUUGGCGUUGGGAGCGGUCCAAGUUCUUUGGAACAGGACGUCACAGAGGGUGAGAAUCCCGUACGUGGUCGCUAUCCUUCGCCGUGUAAAGCCCCUUCGACGAGUCGAGUUGUUUGGGAAUGCAGCUCUAAAUGGGAGGUAAAUUUCUUCUAAAGCUAAAUACUGGCCAGAGACCGAUAGCGCACAAGUAGAGUGAUCGAAAGAUGAAAAGCACUUUGGAAAGAGAGUCAAAUAGCACGUGAAAUUGUUGAAAGGGAAGCGCUUGCAGCCAGACUUGCCUGUAGUUGCUUAUCUGGACUUUUGUCCAGUGCACUCUUCUGCGGGCAGGCCAGCAUCAGUUUGGGCGGUUGGAUAAAGGUCUCUAUCACGUACCUCCUUUCGGGGAGGCCUUAUAGGGGAGACGACAUGCAACCAGCCUGGACUGAGGUCCGCGCAUCUGCUAGGAUGCUGGCGUAAUGGCUGUAAGCGGCCCGUCUUGAAACACGGACCAAGGAGUCUAACAUCUAUGCGAGUGUUUGGGUGUCAAGCCCAGACGCGUAAUGAAAGUGAACGGAGGUGGGAACCUUUUAGGUGCACCAUCGACCGAUCCUGAUGUCUUCGGAAGGAUUUGAGUAAGAGCAUAGCUGUUGGGACCCGAAAGAUGGUGAACUAUGCUUGAAUAGGGUGAAGCCAGAGGAAACUCUGGUGGAGGCUCGCAGCGGUUCUGACGUGCAAAUCGAUCGUCAAAUUUGGGCAUAGGGGCGAAAGACUAAUCGAACUAUCUAGUAGCUGGUUCCUGCC
rnacentral:rRNA from 1 species